rnacentral:rRNA from 1 species
AUUGAACGCUGGCGGCAGGCCUAACACAUGCAAGUCGAGCGAGCGGCGGACGGGUGAGCAAUAUAUCGGAAUGUGCCCGGUAGAUGGGGAUCACUACUGGAAACUGUGGCUAAUACCGCAUACUAUUGGAUCGGCCGAUAUGGGAUUAGCUAGUGGGUGGGGUAAAGGCUUACCAAGGCCACGAUCCGUAGCUGGUCUGAGAGGACGAUCAGCCACACUGGGACUGAGACACGGCCCAGACUCCUACGGGAGGCAGCAGUGGGGAAUUUUGGACAAUGGGCGAAAGCCUGAUGCAGCCAUGCCGCGUGUAUGAAGAAGGCCUUAGGGUUGUAAAGUACUUUUGGCAGGGAAGCGUUACCUGCAGAAUAAGCACCGGCUAACUCCGUGCCAGCAGCCGCGGUAAUAC